rnacentral:rRNA from 1 species
UACGUAGGUGGCAAGCGUUAUCCGGAUUUAUUGGGCGUAAAGGGAACGCAGGCGGUCUUUUAAGUCUGAUGUGAAAGCCUUCGGCUUAACCGGAGUAGUGCAUUGGAAACUGGGAGACUUGAGUGCAGAAGAGGAGAGUGGAACUCCAUGUGUAGCGGUGAAAUGCGUAGAUAUAUGGAAGAACACCAGUGGCGAGAGCGGCUCUCUGGUCUGUAACUGACGCUGAGGUUCGAAAGCGUGGGUAGCAAACAGG